rnacentral:rRNA from 1 species
CCUACGGGAGGCAGCAGUGGGGAAUAUUGCACAAUGGGGGAAACCCUGAUGCAGCGACGCCGCGUGGGUGACGAAGUAUUUCGGUAUGUAAAGCCCUAUCAGCAGGGAAGAAGAUGACAGUACCUGACCAAGAAGCCCCGGCUAACUACGUGCCAGCAGCCGCGGUAAUACGUAGGGGGCAAGCGUUAUCCGGAUUUACUGGGUGUAAAGGGAGCGUAGGUGGCAUGGCAAGCCAGAAGUGAAAACCCGGGGCUUAACCCCGCGGAUUGCUUUUGGAACUGUCAGGCUGGAGUGCAGGAGGGGCAGGCGGAAUUCCUGGUGUAGCGGUGAAAUGCGUAGAUAUCAGGAGGAACACCGGUGGCGAAGGCGGCCUGCUGGACUGUAACUGACACUGAGGCUCGAAAGCGUGGGGAGCAAACAGGAUUAGAUACCCCGGUAGUC